rnacentral:rRNA from 1 species
UACGAAGGGGGGCUAGCGUUGCUCGGAAUGACUGGGCGUAAAGGGCGCGUAGGCGGUUUGUACAGUCAGAUGUGAAAUUCCUGGGCUCAACCUGGGGGCUGCAUUUGAUACGUGCAGGCUUGAGUGUGGAAGAGGGUCGUGGAAUUCCCAGUGUAGAGGUGAAAUUCGUAGAUAUUGGGAAGAACACCGGUGGCGAAGGCGGCGACCUGGUCCAUUACUGACGCUGAGGCGCGAAAGCGUGGGGAGCAAACAGG